GAUGAACGCUGGCGGCGUGCCUAAUACAUGCAAGUCGAGCGAACAGAUAAGGAGCUUGCUCCUUUGACGUUAGCGGCGGACGGGUGAGUAACACGUGGGUAACCUACCUAUAAGACUGGAAUAACUCCGGGAAACCGGGGCUAAUGCCGGAUAACAUUUAGAGCCGCAUGGUUCUAAAGUGAAAGAUGGUUUUGCUAUCACUUAUAGAUGGACCCGCGCCGUAUUAGCUAGUUGGUAAGGUAACGGCUUACCAAGGCAACGAUACGUAGCCGACCUGAGAGGGUGAUCGGCCACACUGGAACUGAGACACGGUCCAGACUCCUACGGGAGGCAGCAGUAGGGAAUCUUCCGCAAUGGGCGAAAGCCUGACGGAGCAACGCCGCGUGAGUGAUGAAGGUCUUCGGAUCGUAAAACUCUGUUAUUAGGGAAGAACAAAUGUGUAAGUAACUGUGCACGUCUUGACGGUACCUAAUCAGAAAGCCACGGCUAACUACGUG
rnacentral:rRNA from 1 species